AUGCGCGUCGUGCCAUUUGCGGGAGCGUGGGUAGCCAUGCCCUCGAAAGCACCUUGGUCCAAUCCCAUCGCCCCGCAUGCCACAACCCCUCCCUCCUCUUCGAUCUCUCUCCCUCCUCAGCCGCCACAAACCCUAGCCCCCUUUCCUACGAUCCAGCCGUCGCUACCCCUCCUCCAUCCAACCUCCAUCGUCAGCCGCCGCCGCCGCUACGGCUCCUCCGUCCACCGACUCCGUCCGUGCAGGUGGCCAGUUUCCUUCCGCCUCGACCUUCUCCACGGUCUCCCCAGUUCACCCCCCAUCCCUUGCUGCCCGAGGUGCUCAUCUUCCCAGGUCGUGAGGAAGCCGCGUGGGGAUGGAAUCACCACGUCGUGCCGCCGGGGGAAGCCUUGGAUCCACGCAGGGGGCCUCCCCGGGGGCGCAGAGGAGGGGUUGUGGAGGCGUGAGGCCAGAAGGACCCCUCUUGCGUCGCUCGUCUCCACCUCAUAUCCGGCAUCUUUGCUGCCGCCAUAGAUCGAGGAGGACGGCACGAUGACGACCAUGAUGUAUCGGACAUCCCAGAUUGACGAUGCCAUGGAAGCCAUGAGAGCUGGCCAAGGAAGAGGGGGCAGUGUCGCAGGCCAUGAAGGGCACGGCGGCUGCGGGCGGAAGCAGCAUGGGUUGAAGGAGCGGCGGAUGUGGGCGGGGUCAGAGGUUGGGGGAGACUCGUCGGCUGGGCGACAGCGAGCGCCGGUGAGUGCAAGCAUGUGUUUCCAAAAGCGUCAUCUCUUACAAGGCAGGCAAGGACGACGUCGUCGCCCUCGCAGGUUCUACGAUCUGUCACAUCUCUGUUCUCCUCGUUAAGGUUUUUGUGGGUGCUAUCAUGGUGCUUGGUCUGCUGAUCAUUUUAAUGUUCUGAGAGGGGAGGCGGCCAAUGACAGGGAGAAGGAGGAGGCUGUUGAGGAGUGCAAGCAGAAGGGGAUUAUCCUCUUGCUUAUUUAGUAUUUCCUCUGUUCUCUGAAGAUUAAUUUUGGCCCAUACAGUUUCCGGUGACUGGAAGUCUGAAACUGAAGACAGGGCAUAUUGUUUUGGUUAUGAGUGGUUGGAAAUAUUGUGGCUUGAUGUCCCUAGAGCAGUCAGACCCUUCCAAGAUAGGUGUUAAAAUCCUAGGUGCCAAGGGCAUUGUGGUGGUGCAAUCCAUGUCUCCUGCGAGCGCUCGGCAUGGCGUCCAUAGCCCCAAAGAGCAAGGCUUCAAGGUUCUUUUCAUUGAAUGACUUGAUUUGUUUCUCCUAUGUUGUGCUCGAUUACUAACUGAAACUGUAGCUCUGCUAUGUAUCAGGCUGGACAACAAGCUUCACUUGAUGAAAGCAUUUCCCUUCUAAAAUAGAGUAAUGCUGAGAUUAAUGCACAAGUUAGUCUUGAUACUAAGGUGGUUAUGGGAUUGCUUGAUCUAUGCUAGGCCAAUAUGUCAGCCAACCACUUAAAAAUAAUCACUUGCAUUUCUUCCUAUGAACUCUGAAACCUGACGAGUGACGACGCAUAAAAAAUUAGCAAUAGAAGGUGUCAGUGAACACGAGUACUCAGUCAAGAGCAAUAUAGCGGUAGAUACUUUACAGUGUAAUUUUAUAUAAGAAUAAAUAAAUGGCACUUAAGUUGUUAAGAAAUUGUUGUUGGAGUAUUGUCUCACCCUUUAUCUACUCUCUCGAAAACUGUGGAUUGCUAUGGGCUGGAGCUCCAGGGGAGGAGGGAGGUAAGCGUGGAUGCAAUGGAUAUUGUUCGGAUAAAAAGUUGGGUGGAAACUGAGUAGUGACGGUGAGACUUAUUCCAUUUGUUUCUCCUUUGCCCUUUUAAUCAAGAACAACGUUCAGAGCUUGCAUGGUUGUCGAAAUAUAAUUCUGUAAAAGAGAAAUAUUGAUAUCAUGCAAUGAUCAAUGCAGAGUAGGAUAGUUAUAGAGUUCUUCCUUAGUUUUCAUUGAGCAAAGAUUGGAUCUGUGCGAUUUGUUCUAAUACCAAGUAAAUCUUGGUCUGCAUAGUUUUUUUCCUAUAUUCUUUUAAAAAAAUUGGGACUUGAUGUGAAAAAGGGUGUGUGUUGACAUGCAUGUAACCAAAUCAUGGAUUAAUGCGAGGUACUAUAUAUACUUGCCUAUCUCUCUGCAAAAGCUUAUGGCCCUCUUUGAUACGACUAGGAACAUCAAAACCAAAUGGGAUUUAUUUGAGUGUACUUCAGAUGGCCAUACUAUAAGUGCACCAUUACUAAAUAGUAUAUGAAUCUUCCUUGUAUAAUUAAGAUGCACUUUCUACAUAGCGCUUCUAUAUAUUGAUACUGUGUGAUCACUUAACAUAAAUCUGGCUAGGCGAUUUGCUCGCCUAACUCUCUGGUUGCAUAUAAUCCGAUCCUGAUAGUGACAUGAUUUACUCUGUUUGAUCAAACAGGUAGAAGCCAAAGCUGUUUUACGUGAAUCUAAUGACGUCCCCGCUGCUAUAAGCUAGGAGUUUGAUAAAUUCAACAUUGGCAAUCUGGUCUUGUGCUCUUCGUCCAAAAGCAUAUUCUGAUAGUGAGAUUCUUAUUGUGGAUGUUUCAGCGUCAACCUGAAUUUUGUUUAACCUACUACAGAAAGACCUUCUAGGGUGAUUAGCUGCAGUACUGUGACAAAUAAUGAAAAAAACUCAGUGUCUUCUCAUUUAAUAUUCUAGCUGCAACUACUUGACUACAAGUUUUAUGUGGAAUUUUUCUGUACAGCUUGCACAAACUCAGUGAGAUCGGGAAUCAUCAUCUCACAUUUUUUUCUGUUGAAAGUGAUAGACAAUAGGCAAUUUACUAGAGCAGUUCAAGCAAGAAUACUUCCAGAAUACAUCUUGUGAUCUGUUGGUAACAACACCAAGUUUGCCAACUUGUUCAACCAAACAAAGUGUAUAACAUGCUUCAUUUUUGCAAGUAUAGAAGAAGGAAAAGAGAGCAUUGGAUUUUGAGUUAACGAAAUAUAUUUGCAAAAAAGAGAGUUAAUGAAAUAUUCUCAAUCAAGAAAACUCAAGGUCGGUUCAGUCAACAGAAAAGAAUAAGGGCUUCGAGAUGCACCGUGAGGGCUGAAACGAGUCUUAUACCGGGUCUUUCAUGAAUUUAGUUAGCCUAAAUACUUCCAGAAUCCCUCUUGCAAUAUGUAAAAGAAGGAAAAUAGAACAUUGGAGGAAAAGGCAGCAGAGUGGAUUCUUUAAGCUUUCUCAAAUGUUUGAACAAGGAAAAGAUAGUUACAAUCAUUUUUCUCUCGCCUUGUUACAUCUUGAUGUUAAUAGGCUUUGGAAGGUACUAUGCACCCCGUUCAAGGUUUAUAGAAUUUGCACGAUCCUAUUACAGUUUGUUCUGAUGACAGAAUUGACUAGUUCUUCCUUGAGGAAAUUAAUAUUUCAGCUGCUACUCCUUUGUGCAUUGUUACAUAGAGUUAUAGUUGUGAAGAUGUGUACGCAUCAACAUAUAAUUCCCACCAUCCUAUUACAGUUUGGUCUGACGACGAAAUCGAGCAGCUCUUACUUGAGUAAA